rnacentral:rRNA from 1 species
GACGAACGCUGGCGGCGUGCCUAAUACAUGCAAGUAGAACGCACAGUUUAUACCGUAGCUUGCUACACCAUAAACUGUGAGUUGCGAACGGGUGAGUAACGCGUAGGUAACCUGCCUGGUAGCGGGGGAUAACUAUUGGAAACGAUAGCUAAUACCGCAUAAUAUUGAUUAUUGCAUGAUAAUUGAUUGAAAGAUGCUAUUGCAUCACUACCAGAUGGACCUGCGUUGUAUUAGCUAGUAGGUGAGGUAACGGCUCACCUAGGCGACGAUACAUAGCCGACCUGAGAGGGUGAUCGGCCACACUGGGACUGAGACACGGCCCAGACUCCUACGGGAGGCAGCAGUAGGGAAUCUUCGGCAAUGGACGAAAGUCUGACCGAGCAACGCCGCGUGAGUGAAGAAGGUUUUCGGAUCGUAAAGCUCUGUUGUAAGAGAAGAACGGGUGUGAGAGUGGAAAGUUCACACUGUGACGGUAUCUUACCAGAAAGGGACGGCUAACUACGCG